rnacentral:rRNA from 1 species
UACGUAGGGUGCAAGCGUUAAUCGGAAUUACUGGGCGUAAAGCGUGCGCAGGCGGCUUUGCAAGACAGAUGUGAAAUCCCCGGGCUUAACCUGGGAACUGCAUUUGUGACUGCAUGGCUGGAGUGCGGCAGAGGGGGAUGGAAUUCCGCGUGUAGCAGUGAAAUGCGUAGAUAUGCGGAGGAACACCGAUGGCGAAGGCAAUCCCCUGGGCCUGCACUGACGCUCAUGCACGAAAGCUAGGGGAGCGAACGGG